UAAUUCUACUCUUCAUCACAUCUCCAGGUCUUCCUCUUCUGCAACGCCGUCGUCUCGAGCGAUCUUCCAAUCCGAAAUCUGUCCACUUAGUUUGGCUCCAAAGCUUGAAUCCAGAGGAGACGGCGGGGGGAUGACGCGGCGGUGCUCCCACUGCAGUCACGAUGACCACCACUCCCGGACGUGCCCCAACCGCGGCGUGAAGCUAUUCGGCGUACGGCUCACCGAUGGAUCCAUCCGGAAGAGCGCCAGCAUGGGUAACCUCUCCAUCGUCGCCGGUUGUAGUGGCGGUGUGUCGCCCGCUGAUGGGUCGGAGCCGGGCUGCCGCGACGGGUACGCGUCGGAGGAUUUCGCCAAGGGGUCGUCCGCGAGCUGCCGCGAGCGAAAGAAGGGUAAUCCGUGGACUGAAGAAGAACAUAUGUUGUUUUUACUCGGCUUACAAAAGCUUGGUAAAGGUGAUUGGCGAGGCAUAUCCCGUAACUAUGUGGUAUCAAGAUCACCUACUCAAGUGGCUAGUCAUGCACAGAAGUAUUUUAUUCGGAAAGCCAAUACAACAAGAAGAAAGAGAAGAUCAAGCCUUUUUGACAUGGAACCUGAUGAGCCCCUCGAAGCUCAACCAUCUCUAAUGAACUUCCAGGAAUCAGAGGCACAAAAUAACAAGCCCCUUCCAGUGCCUCCAACACUGAAUGAGGAUUUUGAAUCAAUGGACUCUAAUGAUGAGAAAGCAGUUGUCCCACAACCGGAAGCUCUUCAGUGCAGUUAUCCUGUGUUACGUCCAGCUUAUUUUUCACCAUUUCUACAAUUAUCAUUCCCUCAUUGGUCAGGAGACAAAGCAGAUACUUCAGAGCAACAGGCACAUGAAAUUAUUAAGCCAACAGCAGUACAUUUAAGGACCCCCAUAAAUGUUGAUGAACUUGUUGGUAUGUCAAAACUGAGCAUAGGAGAGUCUGCUGGAGAAACAGCAUCUUCACUGUUUUUGCUUGGAGGUUCAAAGAGGCAAUCCGCCUUCCAUGCUAAUCCAUCCACAAGGGCUCAUACAUGAUCCAACUAUCCGGACAGGGUCAACAAGUGAAGGUUUGUCCUGUGAUAAUUAUCCUUGCCUUCUUGUUAAUAGAUGAUCACGGAACCAUGGAAGUAACUGCAUUUUUGGACAAUUUCCUCAGACUGCCAUUCUUAUCUGAUAUUUUCGUAAAUGAUCAGUUGAUUAGCAUCCUUGGUCAUUGGUAUUUAGCAAUUUCCAAUCAAACAGCAACUGUGGCACAUAAAAUGCACCCAAAUACCAUAGGUUCUUGGUUGCAGACGUAACUGUUUUGGAACAACUUCAGUUUCCCACUGCUGAAGUCACUGAAAGUGUUGUGUUGCUGGGGAUGCUACUCUGGUCUUCAGAAGUCUUGCUUUUUCCAUCAGAAUACAAUUGAAUCCAUGCUAACCAUCUGCCUCCUGCUGCUGACCACAUAAUCAUUCAUUGUUCUUGUGCCUGUUAAUAAUAAUGUACAGCUUCAAGGACUUGUAUCUUUAUACAAGAACUUAAAUAUGUUAUAUGUAUUCAUUAUUUUCUAUAUGUAUUAUAUGCUGAAGACAAAUGUAAUGUGUAACUAGCAUAAAAGAUUCAAGAUUCAAGUUUAUUUACCAUUGUUUA